rnacentral:rRNA from 1 species
UCAAGCUACAAAGGGCGCAAGGAGAAUGCCUUGGCACUGGGAGCCGAUGAAAGACGUGGUAAGCUGCGAUAAGCUUCGGGGAGGAGCAAACAUCCUUUGAUCCGGAGAUUUCUGAAUGAGGAAACUCACCAGAGUUCAUACUCUGGUAUCCUGUACUGAAUCCAUAGGUACAGGAGGGGAACCGCCUGAACUGAAACAUCUAAGUAGGGCGAGGAAGAGACAUCAAACGAGAUUCCGUAAGUAGUGGCGAGCGAACGCGGAAGAGGGCAAACCGAGAGUAGAAAUACUUUCGGGGUACGGAGCGCAUUUAGGACUUAAGUUGUUAACCGAACGGCAUGGGAAGGCCGGUCAGAGAGUGUGAGAACCACGUAGGUGAAAACGACAAGAGCCGAGCGAAUUCCAGAGUACGGCCAGACACGUGAAACCUGGUCGGAAUACGGGGGGACCACCCUCCAACCCUAAAUACUACCCAGUGACCGAUAGCGUAUAGUACUGUGAAGGAAAGGUGAAAAGCACCCCGGGAGGGGAGUGAAAAAGAACCUGAAACCCUGUGCCUACAAGCACCUAGAGCGCGUCAAUGCGUGAUAGGGUACUUUUUGUAGAACGGUCCGGCGAGCGAUUGUAUGCAGCAAGGUUAAGGACUUAAGGUCUGGAGCCGAAGCGAAAGCGAGUUUGAAAAGGGCGUUAAGUUGCAUAUAAUGGGCCCGAAACCGGGUGACCUACCCAUGGUCAGGUUGAAGUGGAAGUAAAAUUCCAUGGAGGACCGAACCGACCUCCGUUGAAAAGGCGGCGGAUGAACUGUGGGUAGCGGAGAAAUUCCAAUCGAACCCGGAGAUAGCUGGUUCUCCCCGAAAUAGUUUUAGGACUAGCCUCAAGUUAGAUACCUGGAGGUAAAGCACUGAAUAGCCUAGCGGCCGAGAGGUUAGCGAAGCUUAUCAAACUCAGAAUGCCAGAGUAUUGAUGCUUGGGAGUCAGACAGUGUCAGAUAAAUGUCAUUGUCAAAAGGGAAACAGCCCAGAUCUACAGCUAAGGUCCCAAAGUCAGGUUAAGUGGAAAACGAUGUGAAGAUACGUAGACAACCAGGAUGUUGGCUCAGAAGCAGCCACUCAUUCAAAGAGUGCGUAAUAGCUCACUGGUCGAGCGUCUUUGCGCGGAGAAUUUAACGGGGCUAAACCUGACACCGAAGCUUAGGCAGCAUGAUUACAUGCUGGGUAGGGGAGCGUUGUAUACGCGGUGAAACAGUAGCGCAAGCGGCUGUGGAGUGUAUAGAAGUGAGAAUGCCGGAAUGAGUAGCGCGAAUGCAGUGAGAAUCUGCAUGGCCGAAAGCCUCAGGUUUCUGGAGGAAGGUUCGUCCGCUCCAGGUUAGUCGGGAGCUAAGGUGAGGCCUAACGGCGUAGCCGAUGCACAGACGGUAGAGAUUCCGUCACCACCAAAAGAGUUAAACACAGGGACACAUAUGAAGUCUCGGAGCCGGGUGUUGGUUCCGGUAGCGAUCGAGGGAAAUUAGUACCGAAGUCCGAGAUGGAAGAUGGCGAGAAAAGCUGUGUGUAUUUCUGCGGUGCCCGUACCGCAAACCGACACAGGUAGGUAGGAAGAAGAUUCUAAGGCCAACGGGAGAAGGGUUGUUAAGGAACUCGGCAAAUUGACCCCGUAACUUCGGGAGAAGGGGUGCUGCAGCAAUGCAGCCGCAGAGAAUCGGCCCAAGCAACUGUUUACCAAAAACACAGGUUUGUGCUAAAUCGAAAGAUGACGUAUACGAGCUGACGCCUGCCCGGUGCUGGAAGGUUAAGAGGAGAUGUGCAAGCAUUGAAUCGAAGCCCCAGUGAACGGCGGCCGUAACUAUAACGGUCCUAAGGUAGCGAAAUUCCUUGUCAGGUAAG